rnacentral:rRNA from 1 species
UACGUAGGGUGCGAGCGUUGUCCGGAAUUAUUGGGCGUAAAGGGCUCGUAGGCGGUUUGUCGCGUCGGGAGUGAAAACACUGGGCUUAACUCAGUGCCUGCUUUCGAUACGGGCAGACUAGAGGCAUGCAGGGGAGAACGGAAUUCCUGGUGUAGCGGUGAAACGCGCAGAUAUCAGGGAGGAACACCGGUGGCGAAGGCGGGUCUCUGGGCCGAUACUGACGCUGAGGAGCGAAAGCGUGGGGAGCGAACAGG